rnacentral:rRNA from 1 species
UACGUAGGGUGCGAGCAUUGUCCGGAAUUACUGGGCGUAAAGAGCUCGUAGGUGGUUUGUCGCGUUGUUCGUGAAAACUCACAACUCAAUUGUGGGCGUGCGGGCGAUACGGGCAGACUGGAGUACUGCAGGGGAGACUGGAAUUCCUGGUGUAGCGGUGGAAUGCGCAGAUAUCAGGAGGAACACCGGUGGCGAAGGCGGGUCUCUGGGCAGUAACUGACGCUGAGGAGCGAAAGCGUGGGGAGCGAACAGG